rnacentral:lncRNA from 1 species
UUCAAAUUGAAGCGGUGAAUAGUGAAAAAAAUAUAAAAAAAAAUUGACUGUGACACUAUAGCUAUAUUUUGAUUCGAAAUGACCAUAAGACGGUUUACGGUAGACCUAAAUGCCACAAUAUGCAUAAAAAUGAGGAAAUAUAAAAAAGAAGAUGUGGUAUGAUUGCCAAUGAGACAAAUAUCCAGAAAGACCACAAUGACACAGACAUCAAGAACUAUAGCUCACCG